rnacentral:rRNA from 1 species
GGUUGAUCCUGCCAGUAGUCAUAUGCUUGUCUCAACGAUACAGUCGUUCAAUAUUGGGUGCGAAUGAAGGGACAUAAGAAUCGAUACAAUCAUAUAGUCGAUUAGUCUGAUAUCCUUCCUCAUAUAAUGCUUAUUAUAUAGAGGUAGAUAGAUAGAGGGCGACACUUUUCAAUUGCGGGGACAUCUUUAAUGUGCUUCGAUAAUAGCGCUCUACCAAGCAGGCAAGUAAUAGCUUGUGGCCAUAGCUUAAUAUUCGCUAUGGGUAU